UCCUCCUGCACCGUUCGCCUCCCGCAGCCGCGCUCACCGCUGCCUCGCACCGCCGGAGCCACGGGAAGCCGCCGCAGGUCGCCGGGAGCCUGCCCCUGCCGCGGGUCGCCGCCUCCCCAGCCGCGGGAGCCCGCCCCCGCCGCGGGUCGUAUCUUCCCCAGCCGCCGGAGCUCGCCACCGCCGUGGGUUGGCGCCUCCCUAGCCGCGGGAGCCGCCCCCGCCGCGGGUCGCCGCCUCCCCAGCCGCCGGAGCCGCCCCGCCGCGCCCUUCGUCGCCACUCCGCCGCAGCUUGGGGGCAAUAUCGCGGGAGGGGUCGUGCCAGCGGGCGCUCCGUGAUGGACGCGAGCAUGGGCUGUUGUCACCGCCUGCUUCUCUCCUCCGCUGCACCACGAAUGCGAGCUAGGGUCUCCGUCGUCGUUCCUCCAUGAAGCCGGGAAAGCCAACACCGCCGCAGACGAUGUGGGGCUACCCGCCAGCUCUGGUAGCUUCCAACGAGCAUGUGCUGAUGUGCCUGCUCCGCAACGGUCAUGCCCCGCGCUUGCUGACAAGGUCAUAAAUUGCUUGGAAAAAUGCAACAUCGAUGCUAGAAUCCUGACGAGACUAUGGCCGGUGAUGUAGAUUAUUUUGUAUGCUAAUGGUGCCGUGGCGGCUGCAUGGCGGAGGGUUGCACGCUCGACUUUGACGUCGCCGUCUUCAACAGGGAGAAGAUGUCCCUCGCCGGCCAUGACAAGUAUAUGGUGGCGGGCGGGCGGAACCUCUUCGCACUGCUCCUGGAGGCAUCAAGGGUGACAAGUCCUCUAUAAUGAUUGAAUCGGGCUCCCAGUGUUUCUUUGGAACACUGGAUUCCACUACCACGUGCAAUCAUUUAUUAGUUAUUCCAACAGGUCAUGGACUUUCCACGCGCUCAGACAGCAACAUUCUUUAUCCAACGGGUUAAGUGAUUUUAUCCAUCUGAAUAUUGUGUUAUCAUUUGUUUUAAUUCAAGUGAUAUUACGCAUGUAGCUUGCUGGGUAUAUUUUACAAUAGUUACCUUUGGAAAUUUCUUAGAGAUUAUAGAUGGGACAGAGACAACAUUGCAGAUACGUUGCAGCUGGGCACCAUGAUCAUUGCCCCCAUAUCUCCUUUUUAUGUUAUGAAGAUAUACAUGUAGGUUUCCUUUUUGGCAAUUUUUGGAGAUCAUAAAUGAUAUUAAUAUUAGAGAAAAGUAUUAUGGUUGUACCGCAAUUUGCAAGGUUUCUUGUGUCUGUGUGUACAAACAGAUAAAAUCUUAUUGAAGUGACUUUGAUUAAUUUCCUUUUCAAAGUUAUUGUUGGGCCAGCUAUUGACCUCUAUAAAACAUUUAUUUUCACUUCUCUUUUGCUCCCAGGAAAUCUGGUGCAAGCCCCACUACAGUUUUAUAUAAAGAUGUUGGAGGCACCAUCGAAAAGAGACAAGUCUGCGUGAAUCUUGUCCAAACUCCACAUCGCUGUCACUGAACAAAGUUGGAGGUGCAAUUGAAAGAGACCAGCCAAAUUCUUCUUCUGGAUAUUAAAAAGAAAACAUGGCUAGAGAUUUCAUGCCAUGUCAUUCCAUUUAUGUUCGCUUGUGUCAUUAUCAUAUCUGAUUACAUGAUUGACAUCUAUUUCAUAAUUAGCAUAUACUUCGAGACAUGAUAUGUUUUGCUUUAUUUAUGGACAACAAUAUAUGUUUACUUAUUGUGAUCAUAUAAGUGAACAAACAUAGCCAACGGUUAAAGUUCAUAUCUACUAUGUAUAUAUAUUUUUCAUUCACACAUGUCUCACUGCCUUUUAAGCACUUAGAGAGCAGAACUGGAGAUUGCUCUCAUUAAAUGUGAACAAGAUUGAUGUUCUUUUUUUUUUCGCAAAAUAGUAAAUACUGUGUUCUCUUGAUUGUUUUUUGAUUUUUCGGCUUACCUGAAUCUAAGAAGUCCGACCAUCAAUUAAUGAGAGAUUUUUGCUUCUAUCAUUCGUGGAACCAUAGAAAUGAAGUACAGACCGCGCCUCAGCCAACACUUCACAAUCUUUUUCCCCAAAGCAAACAGUAUCAUUAUUUAUGUAUUCUAAAUUAAAAUAUUUUUGCUUGUGUGCUCAAGUAAAAUUUUACUGCUUAAAGGAAAAAGAAACCAUUUUAUCACUCCUACAGUUCACAGGGAGAGAGAACAAGAAAGAAAACCUUCUACCACAAUCUUGUCUUCCUACUUACUUUUACUUACCAAGAAGAAACAACAAUAAAGGAAUCUUUUAAGAAAAUGGAUAAAAGAUCAUUUUCAGUUAGUAAUGCAAAACAAUGUGAUGGAUGGUCUAUAAGAUUAUCUGGUUGAAUUCAUCUCCAGGGUAAAAGAAGUCAGGCAAUGUGCAUGAUGUUUGAUUGGAAAUAAUAUUGCUUUGAAAAUGUACGAAUGCUUUCUUGGCAUCUGACAUUGCAGAAUCAAACAUUGAUGCAUACUUUGUAAAUUCUCUUGGGGAGAAAAAGUAUAAUUUGCAAGUUGCAACAUUGAUCCCAAAAUACAUGGUGUUCACACAUA